rnacentral:hammerhead_ribozyme from 1 species
AUCCAUCUAAUGAGUCCCAAAUAGGAUGAAACAUGUGUCUUGAAU